GACGAACCGUGCGAACGUUGUUCGGAUUCACUGGGCUUAAAGGGCGCGUAGGCGGGUGUUCAAGUCAGGGGUGAAAUCCUCCAGCUUAACUGGAGAACAGCCUUUGAUACUGGGCAUCUCGAGGGAGGUAGGGGCGGGUGGAACUUCCGGUGGAGCGGUGAAAUGCGUAGAUAUCGGAAGGAACGCCGGUGGCGAAAGCGACCCGCUGGACCUCUUCUGACGCUGAGGCGCAAAAGCUAGGGGAGCAAACGGG
rnacentral:rRNA from 1 species